AAAUGCGAUAAGUAAUGUGAAUUGCAGAAUUCAGUGAAUCAUCGAAUCUUUGAACGCACAUUGCGCCCGCCAGUAUUCUGGCGGGCAUGCCUGUCCGAGCGUCAUUUCAACCAUCAAGCCCCCGGGCUUGUGUUGGGGACCUGCGGCUGCCCGCAGGCCCUGAAAACCAGUGGCGGGCUCGCUGUCACACCGAGCGUAGUAGCAAUCACCUCGCUCAGGGCGUGCUGCGGGUUCCGGCCGUUAAACAGCCUUACAAAACCCAAGGUUGACCUCGGAUCAGGUAGGGAUACCCGCUGAACUUAAGC
rnacentral:misc_RNA from 1 species